CAGAGCUGCUCCCCGAGACGCCCCCGCAGGAGCAGCGCGACGUCCUCUUCUACCUGGCCCUGGGCUACUACCGGCUCAAGGAGUACGAGCGCUCGCUGGAGCUCCUGGAGCGCCUCCUGGCGGCCGAGCCGCAGAACGCGCAGGUGCAGCGGCUGCGGGGCCGCGUCAGGAACCAACUGAGGAGAGACGGGCUGGUGGGCGCGGCCAUCGUGGGGGGCGUGGUCGUGGGCGUGGCCGGGCUGCUGGGCGUGGCCAUCGCGCGCGCGCGCCACUGACCACGCCCACCCCGGGGGGGCGGGGCCGGCGCGGAGAUGACGUCACGGCUCGCGGUGACGUCAGCGACGCCGCCCCUCCCCCCUCAGUGCCUUGGGGACCCCCCCGGGGGUUCCCGCCCCUCCCCCACCCCCGCUGUAAAUAAACCUGAUUGGGCGCCGA